UUGUUUUCUCCCUUUUUUUGUUUUGUCUGGUAGUGUGCAGAGAGUGAAAAUGUUACAUGCCUUCUAAAGCAAGCAGACAUUCAUUCUUCUUCAGAGUAGCUCUUGGAGAGUAGCACCAUGGCUCAUUCCAACAUGGAAGCUGAUAAAAUGCUGGAUGUAUAUAUACACGAUUAUCUUAAGAAGAGAAAAUAUGGUGCUUCUGCUAGAACAUUUCAAGCUGAAGCACAACUUCUCACCAAUCGUGCUGCUAUAGAUGCUCCAGGUGGUUUUCUUCUUGAAUGGUGGUCAGUAUUUUGGGAUAUUUUCAUUGCUCGGUUCAAGACCCCUCUUUCAAGCACUACUGCAUCUUACAAUGUGGUUCAAAUGAUUAAUACAUUGGAACAGAAGGAUGUCCAAGCUCAACAGCUUAAUCAAAUGCAACAGCUUAUCCAACAAAAGCAACUGCAAGGUUAUGGUACUCAGCUUUUGAGGGGGACUACCAAUGAGGCUAUGACAAGACACAGUCUAGGGACAACAAAUGCUUUAACCAAAAGGGUGUACGAAAGUAGCCCUCAAGUUCAGAGAAUUUCCAUAUCAGUGGACAAUAAGAAACCCACAAAUCCAAGGAAUAGUGAUAAUAUUGGUCAGCAUUUAGAUGCAAAUCACAGCUGCAUAUCAAAACUGGAAACCUUUAGAGACCAGCAUUCGCGGCAAACGCAACACAGUUUACCUGGUGAUAAUUUGAGAUUUUAUCCUCCACUAGCUGAUCAAGCUCAUCAAUUCCCAGUUACGCAACUGGACCAGAGCUUAACAAAUAUGAUGAUUCCUGCUGUGAGUCACAAAGCUGCUGAGUCAGGAUCAGAUCAUGGAGUGAACAGUUUGCUUUUAAAAGGAUGGCCCUUGAUGGGAUUGGAACAGCUUCAAUCUGGACUAAUUCAGCAGCAAAGCUCUACAGUCCACCUGUCUCAUCCCUCCCAACAGCAGCUACAGCAACAAAUUCUAAUGUUUCUUAGUGACCAGUAUAUGGAUAUAAGUCAAGGUGACCAAUCAAACUUCACUGCAAACAUAGUUGUGGACAGAAAUUUGCCAGUUCAAGUGGGUCUCCCGCUUUUCUCUCGUUCAGAUUCAGCUAUGCUAAUGAAGCAAGUGCAGAACAUCAAUCGAAGUCUGGAACAAGGUCAACAGCCUGCUUUUUUUUGCAAGCAUCCAGAAAAUCCAAGUUCCAGCAGCCAACAGCAAGAUAAGAGUGUUGCUACUGGCAGCACGACCAUGGACGUUAGCUUGUCCAACACCUCUAGAGGUGAUGAUCAGAAACGUGCUACGAAAAAGAGAAAGCAGUUAAUGUCAUCAGGUCAGAGUAACAGCUUAGGAACUGCAUACAACACUAGUCUGUUACCAAGUUCAGCGCCUUCUACACCAUCUAUAUCCAGUGCGGAAGAUGUGAUAUCAAUGCCUGCAUUGCUUCAUGAUGAUAAUUUUUCUAAAGGUUGUGUGUAUGGCAAUGAUGUUGUUUGCUCAGCUACAUUGAUAUCAACUCAAAUGGCUGAUGUUCCUCUUAUAAACCACAUGUUUGCGAAUAACUCUGCCGAGUCCUUCCUUUCUGACAAUGCAGAUACUGAAAGCAUAAUCCCUAGGUGCUUAGGCACCAGUAAAGAUAUUACGUUCUUGGAAAUUGGGACUUUUCAUUCCAGUGCAGUUAAUUGCUGCGACCUUUCAUCUGAUGGAAAGCUGAUAGCAACUGGCGGGGAUAAAGAGGUUGUACUAUGGUGCACAGAUUCAAGAGCGCUAAAGCAUAUACUUGAGGGGCAUUCUGAUGCAAUAACAGAUGUUCGCUUUGGUCCAAGAUUACCACGUCUUGCUUCAUCUUCCCUUGAUAAGACAAUCAAAAUUUGGGAUGUUCAUAAUCCAGACCACUCAAUACGAAGUUUUACUGGCCAUUCUGCCUCCGUUAUGUCACUUGACUUUCAUCCAACCAAGGAGGACCUGAUCUGUUCUUGUGAUAAUGUUAGUACAAUUCGAUACUGGAACAUUAAGAAUGGUGGUUGUGCAGGAGUGUCAAAGGUUCGUGCAACUCAAGUUAGGUUUCAGCCUAAUCUUGGGAAGUAUCUUGCUGCUGCUGAUGCGGAUGGUGUAUUGUUAAUAGAUGUGGAGACCACCCAAAUCUGUACAUAUCCUCUGAAGGGUCACAUCUCAAUCAUCCGGGGUAUAUGCUGGAGCAGCUCUGGUGAGUAUCUAGCUUCACUUAGUGAAGAUAUGGUAAAAGUCUGGAAGAUUGGCUCUAGUGGAGAGCAAGAGUGCAUGAAUGAGCGAAGCGUAACAGGCAAAAGAUUUCGUUGCUGCACAUUUCAUCCUUGUUACCCUUCUGUAUUAGUGGUUGGUUCAGAUCAGUGCCUGGAAUUUUGGCAUAUGGCUGAGAACAAGAUGAUGAUUGUGCUGGAAGAGCCUGUGAAUAGUUUAGCAGCGUCGCGGCCCACUGGUGUAGUAGCUUCUGCCACUGACAACAAUUUAAUCAGAUUGUGGAAAUGAAAAUUUAUUUCCAUCAACUUCAACUUGGAGAGUGAAAAUCUGUUUUACCAUGUUUUGCAUUUACACCACACCAACCAAUAUGAACAGAAAAGUGGUUAUGUUAGGUAAGCAAGUGAGAUAUUCUACCUCUGGGGAGAAUGGUAAGUUUCAAAAUGGACAAGCAGUAGCAGUGAAAAUAUUGUCAGCAAAUUCAGGCCAAGAUGAUGUAGAAUUCAAAUAUGAGAUCUUGUUGGUUAUAUGGUUAGGUUGUUGGGAUUUUGCUAAUGUUGGUAGUUCUUUUUUUUUCUUUUUAGAAUUAAUUAAUAUUGGUGAGUUUUUUAUUACGUGAAAAAUGAGUCCUCGUAAGAGAAAAAGAGGAAAAUAUCCAAGUCUCCUAAAAUUAAUGUUGGUAAUUUUUUUAAUUUUUUUUAGGAAUUAAUGUGGGCAAGAACUUUUACGAUGAACAAUACAACCCCGUUGCUUUCUCAA